CAGCCGCCGCGGGAAUACAGAGGGUGCGAGCGUUAAUCGGAUUUACUGGGCGUAAAGCGUGCGUAGGCGGCUUCUUAAGUCGGAUGUGAAAUCCCUGAGCUUAACUUAGGAAUUGCAUACGAUACUGGGAAGCUAGAGUAUGGGAGAGGAUGGUAGAAUUCCAGGUGUAGCGGUGAAAUGCGUAGAGAUCUGGAGGAAUACCGAUGGCGAAGGCAGCCAUCUGGCCUAAUACUGACGCUGAGGUACGAAAGCAUGGGGAGCAAACAGGAUUAGAUACCCCCGUAGUCCCUGUCUCUUAUAC
rnacentral:rRNA from 1 species